GGUUUCCAAAUUAGAUAAUUGUGAGUUACCAGUUAAAACAUCCAUGUUCUCAUGCAAACCAAAAGAAACCCGAUCAUUUACAUGUAUAUGCCUCAAUUUCACCAUCUUCAGAAGUGAACAAGGUAAUAUCAUCUCUCCUCCCAAUCCUCUUACGACAAAAGUCUCAAGAUUUUCAAGCUUAGCUAUAGAUGAAGGAAUUGAAUUUGCAUCAGUUUGGGCCGCAAAGUACUUCAUCUGAAUUAGAUAUUGUAUUUCAGUGGGAAAAGUACCACCAAUGUUGAAUGAUUCCAAAUCCAACACUUUAACA
rnacentral:misc_RNA from 1 species